GGUUAAGUCUGCCCAGUGAAAAGUAAUUUUUAAACGGCCGCAGUACUUUGACUGUGCUAAGGUAGCAAAAUAAAUAGGCUUUUAAUUAAGGUCGAGAAUGAAUGGCACCAUGGGCGGAAACUGUCUCCUUUUAUGAUUGUUAAUUUGUUUAAUAGGUGAAAAGACCUAUAUUAAAAAUAAUAGACGAGAAGACCCUUAGAGUUUUUAACCAUAUUAGCUAUUAGAUUAGUUUAUUAAUUUUUUGUUGGGGCGACAUAGUAUCAAAUAGCAUACUUAAUAUUAUUGAUGUAACAAGUCUUUAUUACAAUUGAAUAUAACUACCUAAGGGAUAACAGCAUAAUUUUUAACAUAAAGAUUGUGACCUCGAUGUUGGACUAGGGACUAAAUGUAUUAGUCAUAUA
rnacentral:rRNA from 1 species